rnacentral:rRNA from 1 species
GACGAACGCUGGCGGCGCGCCUAACACAUGCAAGUCGAACGAGCGAGAGAGAGCUUGCUUUCUCGAGCGAGUGGCGAACGGGUGAGUAACGCGUGAGGAACCUGCCUCAAAGAGGGGGACAACAGUUGGAAACGACUGCUAAUACCGCAUGAUACUUUUUGGGGGCAUCCCCGAAAAGUCAAAGCUUUAUGUGCUGAAAGAUGGUCUCGCGUCUGAUUAGCUAGUUGGUGAGGUAAUGGCUCACCAAGGCGACGAUCAGUAGCCGGUCUGAGAGGAUGAACGGCCACAUUGGGACUGAGAUACGGCCCAG